GCUGGGUGUGGUGGCGCAUGCCUGUAAUUCCAGCUACUCAGGAGGCUGAGGUGGGAGAAUCACUGGAACCCAGGAGGUGGAGGUUGCAGUGGGCCGAGAUCACGCCACUGCACUCCAGCCUGGGCAACAGAGUGAGAAUCCAUCUCAA
rnacentral:SRP_RNA from 1 species